rnacentral:rRNA from 1 species
AACGAACGCUGGCGGCAGGCUUAACACAUGCAAGUCGAACGCCCCGCAAGGGGCGUGGCGCACGGGUGAGUACCGCGUGGCUAUCUGCCUUUUGGUUCGGAAUAACCCCGGGAAACUGGGGCUAAUACCGGAUGGUUCCUACGGGAUAAAGAUUUAUCGCCAAAAGAUGAGUUCGCGUACGAUUAGCUAGUUGGUGAGGUAAUGGCUCACCAAGGCGACGAUCGUUAGCUGGUCUGAGAGGACGAUCAGCCACACUGGGACUGCGACACGGCCCAGACUCCUACGGGAGGCAGCAGUGGGGAAUAUUGGACAAUGGGCGCAACCCUGAUCCAGCCAUGCCGCGUGAGUGAUGAAGGCCUUCGGGUUGUAAAGCUCUUUUGGCGGGGACGAUGAUGACGGUACCCGAAGAAUAAGCCCCGGCUAACUUCGUG